GUUACAGCGAGCGACUUCACACUCUGUUCACGCCUCAGUUCGCCAUUGGUCCCUUCUCACAGGACAUGCACUGCACUGAACACCUCGUCAACAGCCAGUUUGUCAUAACGUCAAAGUCAGCACAUUUCAAAAGAUUUCGUUAGUUUUAGCCACUAGCAUAUCGUUAGCGAUUAGCAAUUGUUCCGUUAUGCUACUUUAAAGAUGUUCACUACCAGCCAGGUGAUAGUGUCGGGUUGAAGAUGUUAAAGAUGUUCACUACCAGCCAGGUGGGAGUGUCGGGUUGAAGAUGUUAAUGAUGUUCACUACCAGGUGGGAGUGUCGGGUUGAAGA
ensembl:lncRNA